rnacentral:misc_RNA from 1 species
GAUGAAGAACGUAGCGAAAUGCGAUAAGUAGUGUGAAUUGCAGAAUUCAGUGAAUCAUCGAAUCUUUGAACGCACAUUGCGCCCCUUGGUAUUCCAUGGGGCAUGCCUGUUCGAGCGUCAUUUGUACCUUCAAGCUCUGCUUGGUGUUGGGUGUUUGUCUCGCCUCUGCGUGUAGACUCGCCUCAAAACAAUUGGCAGCCGGCGUAUUGAUUUCGGAGCGCAGUACAUCUCGCGCUUUGCACUCAUAACGACGACGUCCAAAAGUACAUUUUUACAAUCUUGACCUCGGAUCAGGUGGGGAUACCCGCUGAACUUAAGCAUAUCAAUAAGCGGAGGA